ensembl:lncRNA
GAGCCUGGAGAGGUUUCCAGGCAGGAUAAGCAGCCCUAGCAGAGGUCAGAAACAUGGGAAAGAAAUACAAGGGUCCCCUUCUAGUCCUGGGCUUCCUUGAUGGCUUAGAUGGCAAAGAAUCUGCCUGCAAUGCAGGAGACCUGGCUUCAAUCCCUGGGUUGGUAAGAUCUUUUGGAGAAGAUGCUUUGACUCUGGGUGCCUUGCUGACCCUAGAGGGUCUGUCCCUCCCAGGGCUGCCAAGUCCUGGAGGCAGUAAACUCGGUAAAGGCAGGAGCAUAACCUUCAUACACAAACUAACCAGCCCAGACAUGGACACCAUGUAUCCUCUAUCUGGCUCUCACACUCUGGACUGCUUUUCACCCACCCUGCUCACCCUGGCACCGGACAACCAGAGACAGCCCUCACACCCCAGAGACCUCUGAAAUGAUCCAAACCAGCCAGCCCCAGCCUGCUUACCUUGCUCCUCCUGUUCCUCCCCACAGAAACCACAACAAAGGUUAUUAUUGUCAUGUUCUCCUCCAAUUGCCUCUGCCUCCUGACUAA